rnacentral:lncRNA from 1 species
CCACUUCUACCUUGGAUUCUUCAGGGGUUCUGUGAAAACGGAAAAAAUUUCUGCCUUAGAGAUCCAAUUGGUCGGAUCUCCAUCUUUCCAUCUCGGAAAUUCCAUCUUCAUGUGUGAGUAAUUUGUGUCACAAUCUUGGAGCCUUUUUCCUGUAUUUUCAUAUCUAUGCAACGUAGAACUUGAGCCCCCAUUUUGUUGAAAUUUG